CAAGCACAGUGAUGUGUAAAACAUCCCUGCUAUGCCACCCUUGACGCAGCUUGAUUUGCCACAGGCUUCAGGGUGUAAAUGACUUGAAGCAGCCUGAACUGUGAGCAUUGCCAAAGCCUACAUGUGUGAACCCAGAUACGGUCCUUGGGAUUUGGGAUUUUUCAAAGAUAUUAUUUAUUGUUCAUCACUUACCAGAACCUCCAGUGAUCCGAAAAGCAAGCAUGUGGUGAAUCUGUUCAAGUAAGUAUCUGAGAUGAAGCCUCCAACGAGGGAAAGCAAGUAGGUUGAACCCAUAAAGUUUGUGAGGGUGUUGGCUGAGCUGGCCAGAUCAAAGUGCAUCACUCCAUAAAAGUAUAGGACUAUGCUCACCAUGUUUGCCACAAAACCCAUGUUGUCCAAUGCUGACAAGACUACAAUGAACAAGGGAAAGGGGGUGAAAAAAGCUUAAUAUAUAUCUUGCAAUCAAAUCAUACAACAGAGUUUAGUGUCUUCUCCUUUUGCUUUUGCAUACCAAAAAUGAACAUGGAAGCCAUGAAUCCUCCUUUGCUUCUCUUCCAUUGGUUGAGGGGCCUUUGUUCUUCUUUGGCAUCAUGGUCAGCCUGUAUGAAAAGAUUUGAAACUCAUUAAUCAACAAUACACACACAGAGAGAAGAUAAAGGUGAGAUAAGGAGGAUUGAGUAUAACAGAAAGAAUGAGUGACCAGUCCUUGUGGCUUACCAUUCUAGAGAUUUUGGAGAAAGUGUGUUUUAGACAGGAAUGGAGUGUUCAGGGGAAAUGGUGUUUAUGAACAUAUAGCCGAAAAAGGAAGCUUUCGAGAAAAAGAUAGAGCUCAGACAAGGAUGGUAAAGAGAGAACAACUUUGAGCAUAAAAUGCACAAGAGGGCCUAGUUUAUAAUUUCCAUGACCUUAAAUUGAUUCCCUGUAUCCUUCACUAAUUGUCCUCCAUGCUACUCAUCAUGCUCUCUGUCCCUCCUUUUUCAAGGCCUCUUAGCUCACUAGUUUGGCAUUUUCAAAUCCAAAACAGAAAAGAAAGAUUUGGGUAGUAUUCUUGACAGGGUAUCCCUCAACACUCACUGAUUAGGAGGCACAACUGGCUUAAGGCUGUUAAUUGUGGAUGCUUAAUCAAUCAAUUAUCUUAAUCAACCCAACAUGCUUGCCCCACUCCACUCCAUCUAUCUGCUUGUCUUCGUUGAACAAUCCAUUGCUAGCAUUUAUCUACUUCCAGAGCCAGAAGCUUUCAUGGGUCAAAUUGAAAGGAAAAGACUGCUUUACGAAAUUGCGUA